CGAGAAUUCCCCGUUGCACUUUGGUGCUCCUCUUCUUUCAUAUUCCGUAUCUCCACUUUUCCCACUUCCCUCGUCGCCUCGCCUGACGCGUCUCCUUGCGUUCCUCCUCCCGUGUAUCGUUCUAGCAGAGAGCGCCCAUGGUCGACUCUAGGGUUUUCGUCGAGCAGCGAGGGAACCCCGCAAGAUCCGAAGCGGGGAUCUUCUCAAGAAUCCUCGUUGAGAAUUUCAUGCGCCGCCGCUGGCUCGGGAGAUCGAAUUCGGGGAUUGGGUCAACUAUAUUGCCGGCCAGAAUGGGAGUGGAAUGGGUGCGACGAUGACACCCCUAUGUAAGCUAGGGCGUUCUCUUUGAAAGAUUCCAUGAAGAUGGGAUGCAGGGUGAAAUGAAAAAAAUCGGUGCACUCAAUUUCCAGGGCAAUUUACCACCGCAGAGCUACUCACGAUCCUCUCAAUAUUUAUUCUCAUGUCAGGUAAGUCGUGGCCUUACUCUCAUGUCAUGUGGUCGCAAUAGGUCUGUCUGUCUGUCUUUAGCUUGUCCAGUUGACUCGGUGACAUUGAAGUACCCACCUGUUCUUAACAAGAUGUGAUUUAAUGCAUCCGUCGUCAACAAAACUCAA